AACGCAUCUUGCGCUCCUUGGUAUUCCGAGGAGCAUGCCUGUUUGAGUGUCAUUUGACUUAUCAACCACAUCAUCUUUUUUGAAAAUGUGGCUUGGAUGUGGGGGGGAUGUAUAUUCCUUUGCAGGCUUCAACGAAAGCCGGCUCCCCUGAAAUGCAUUAGUGGUAUCUGAGCUGCUAUUGGUGUGAUAAAUUAUCUAUGCCUUUGGUUAUGCUGGUCAGCGCUGCUUAUAACGACCCAAUCAUUUGACAAAUUUGACCUCAAAUCAGGUAGGACUACCCGCUGAACUUAA
rnacentral:misc_RNA from 1 species